CCCGGGUCUUGUACACACCCGCCCGUCACACCAUGGAGUCGGUUCACAGAAGUAGCUACGCCUAACCGCAAGGGGGCGGUUACCACGGUGAGAUUCGUGACUGGGGUG
rnacentral:rRNA from 1 species